UGUAUAGCUAUGAUGAAGAGGAGUAAAAGGUUAACGCUUUAAGAGAGAGGUGUCCCUAGGCUGAGAGAUACUUUAAGAUAGUUUGCCUUUGAAGGUAGCUUCAGAGCUUUUCGCUUGAAUUUUAGUAGAGUGAAACGGUUUUUCCGUUAUAAAUAUUAAAGUGCUAAUUAGCAGUUUACUUGCUAAUUAGAAUUAAGGUGGUAACGCGGCUUUUCGUCCUUAUA
rnacentral:ncRNA from 1 species